GUGAGGAAUAUUGGUCAAUGGGCGGGAGCCUGAACCAGCCAAGUCACGUGAAGGAAGAAGGAUCUAUGGUUCGUAAACUUCUUUUGCAGGGGAAUAAAGUGCAGGACGUGUCCUGUUUUGUAUGUACCCUGAGAAUAAGGAUCGGCUAACUCCGUGCCAGCAGCCGCGGUAAUACGGAGGAUCCGAGCGUUAUCCGGAUUUAUUGGGUUUAAAGGGUGCGUAGGUGGUUUGAUAAGUCAGCGGUGAAAGUUUGCAGCUUAACUGUAAAAAUGCCGUUGAAACUGUCGGACUUGAGUGUAAAUGAGGUAGGCGGAAUGCGUGGUGUAGCGGUGAAAUGCAUAGAUAUCACGCAGAACUCCGAUUGCGAAGGCAGCUUACUAAGCUACAACUGACACUGAAGCACGAAAGCGUGGGGAUCAAACAGGAUUAGAUACCCUUGUAGUCC
rnacentral:rRNA from 1 species